rnacentral:tRNA from 1 species
CAAGAGGUAGUUUAGUUUAAGAAUGCUGGCUUUGGGAGCCAGUGGCGGAGGUUAGAGUCCUUCUUUCUUGA